rnacentral:lncRNA from 1 species
CAUGUCAUUCAAAAUAGGCAUCAACAUGUCCUAAAUCCAUCAAAAUCAAAAUCCAAAAGUAUGUCAUAGAGAUCAACAGAGAUUUCAUUCCUCCUACGAAUGCAAAGACCUAUCAUCUAAGGCAAAAGCAAUCACAAUGAAGCAUGAUCAGCAGAACCAGAAUCACCAUUACUCCCCUGAUCUGCAUGCCUGGGUCCAAAGCCAAUCUCUUCUCUCAUCUUUUGAAGAACUUCGUCUUGCCA